rnacentral:lncRNA from 1 species
GGCACGGCAAGGUGCUGAGAGACCGAGACUGCCGACCUUCAACUAUUAACCUUUCCUUUUUUUCUUUUUCUUUUUCUUUUUUUUUUUUCUUUCUCUCUUUACCCUGAAAUCAGCCGGUAUGGCAAGAAUGCUUUGAUCUGAAUAUUACAGGAUGGAAAAUGAACUGGGACUGGGAGGUGAUGAGCCAGGGGAGGAAGUGGUGGGCAGCUUCACCCUGGGUUGCACGAAUACCACUGAUCGCAGCUUUCUUGCAUUACCAGUCCAUGGGUGGAGGAGCACUGGUUAAAGCGAGCUUUCUUUCAAAUCAAUGGGAGCACUUCAAGCAUGCUUCCUAUUUCUGCAAGUGUGCAUCCCUCAGCAGCCUUUGGUAUCUAAUCAGAAGUUAAAUUUGGCAACACUUUGUGUUUUCAGUGGGAACUCUUACAACUCUGUCCAGUUUUGUUGAAAAUGGCCAAAGAGAUCAAAGAUUACAAGCAAGAAGAAAUUCUUCUCAACUGUGUGAAUACACAAAUUUAAUUUCUUCAGAAAAUCAGAACAAAAAUGGACUUUGAUACCUUGAUCCAGCCAUCAAGUACCAAUCAAUCAGAUAAAAGAACAAUAGAAAAAUGACCUCAAGAAAAAUUC